rnacentral:rRNA from 1 species
AGGACGAACGCUGGCGGCGUGCUUAACACAUGCAAGUCGAACGGUGAAGCCCUUCGGGGUGGAUCAGUGGCGAACGGGUGAGUAACACGUGAGCAAUCUGCCCUUGACUCUGGGAUAACUUCGGGAAACCGGAGCUAAUACCGGAUAUGACAUACGGCCGCAUGGUCUGUGUGUGGAAAGAUUUAUCGGUCAGGGAUGAGCUCGCGGCCUAUCAGCUUGUUGGUGGGUGAUGGCCUACCAAGGCGACGACGGGUA